rnacentral:lncRNA from 1 species
AACAAAACAUUUCCAAAUUUCAUAUCUUUUUUUUUUUCUUUUCUUUUUUUUCUUUUUUUUCUCUGAGAUGCAGACACUGGUGCAAUGCUGCCCCUGAACACAGGGUGAAACAAGGAUCUGGAAAUGAGUACAACCCGUGUCCAGCAGGGAUGCUGACAAGUAGAGGAAAGAGAAGGAAUGUGUGUGGAAAGGAUGGAAAGGCCAACAGGAGGAAAGAAAAAACAGUUGCAAAUGUUUUGAGAAUCCAUCAUCUUCCCAGGUUGAUGGUACAGCCCUCGUGACCCAGCUGUGAGUCACCAUUCCCAGCUGGGUGGCUCUGAAGAGAGACAAGAAGCUCAGAUGUGUCCCUGAUUCCCCACCAGCUCAGGCCAGGAACAUCUGUCUGCUCCUUCCCUUCCUUCAGACGGUCCCAAGGAGGGG